GAUGAACGCUGGCGGCGUGCCUAAUACAUGCAAGUCGAGCGAACAGACGAGGAGCUUGCUCCUCUGACGUUAGCGGCGGACGGGUGAGUAACACGUGGAUAACCUACCUAUAAGACUGGGAUAACUUCGGGAAACCCGAGCUAAUACCGGAUAAUAUAUUGAACCGCAUGGUUCAAUAGUGAAAGACGGUUUUGCUGUCACUUAUAGAUGGAUCCGCGCCGCAUUAGCUAGUUGGUAAGGUAACGGCUUACCAAGGCAACGAUGCGUAGCCGACCUGAGAGGGUGAUCGGCCACACUGGAACUGAGACACGGUCCAGACUCCUACGGGAGGCAGCAGUAGGGAAUCUUCCGCAAUGGGCGAAAGCCUGACGGAGCAACGCCGCGUGAGUGAUGAAGGUCUUCGGAUCGUAAAACUCUGUUAUUAGGGAAGAACAAAUGUGUAAGUAACUAUGCACGUCUUGACGGUACCUAAUCAGAAAGCCACGGCUAACUACGUG
rnacentral:rRNA from 1 species